rnacentral:rRNA from 1 species
GUUUUAUAUUAUUGGUUUGCUAUAAAUUUAGGUAUUUAAGUUUUUUCGUUUCAUUAAUAUUUUAUUGGGGUGAUAAAAGGAUUUAGUUAACUCCUUUUUAAUUAAUACAUAAAUUUAUGAUUAUUUGAUCCAAUGUUUUUGAUUAUAAGAAUAAAU